rnacentral:lncRNA from 1 species
UGGUGAACAGUAUUCAAUACUACAAGGGAAAGGUUGAGAAGUUGGAACUUCCACAAAAUGAACAUUAAAAACUGUGAGUUACAAGAGGAAUAAGUUUAGGACUAAUAAUUGUUCCUCAAAGGAGGGAUCAUCAAGGAGAUACCAGAGGUUUAAACAAGGAGGACUCACAGGGUGCUGUGACAUCAAGAGCUGCUGUUUGUAAGCGAGGAGAAAAUCUUUUGGAAACAGGAAAUGAAAUUAUUGUCAUCAUUUAUAAAACAAGCUCUAUAAUACUGUUUGCACAAUGAGGUACACAAGAAUACUAUGGAUGAUUUUUAUUUUGAUUUUACAGGACUUAUAGUUUCAUGUCAUUUGGAUUUCAUUUGGAGCAUCAUGCUGUUUUAGUUUUCAUCCAUUUUUUUAACAAAAAUUCAAUAUGCACCUACUAUGUGCCAAGUUCUUAAAAAAGAAAAAAAAAUCACUAUUCUCAAGGACUUCAUAAUUUAUACCAAAAAAAUAUGACAAGAAAUAUUUUUAAAACAAUAUGAGAGAAAUGUGCAGGGUCCUGUGGUAAUAGGAGAGAAUGACAUUGAUAAAAGUCAUUUGCUAUAUUGGUGUAGUUUAAAAAAAAAAAAAAAAAGCUAACAGCUUUCCAAAGCACCUCAGUUGUGUACAAAUCAUCCCCCAUGCUGUGAAAAUCAGAUCUAACCUGCAAGCUAUAAAUGUGAAAAGGAAUAAGACUAAAAAUGUACCCCAGAUUUGAUCCAUGAUUUAUGAGGAAAUUGGAUAUCUCAAAAUUGCUUUGGCCAUAGAAGAGUCAUUUAAAGCAGGCUCAUAGAAAAGCCUAUCUAAAGUAUUUUCAGAAUUGGCCAGAUAACAUUUGUAAAGAAGUUAGAGAUAUUUCAUUAAUGAAUAGGUUCACAAAUACACACAACCCAGCCUGCAUCCCUCGGGGAAGAAAGGGAUUGUAGAGGAGUGGGAGAAGAUAAUUAUAAUAAGCACCAUGCCUGUCCCUUUAUGUAACUGUUGGGUGUGACCAGGAGAACGCCUGGCAACAUUGACACCCAAUUGUCUUCUAAGCAUUGCUGAUUUUGGAGAACUAUGCUGUGCACUGGGUUCCUAGACUAGAGAGAAAAUUGACAAAAGGAAGGGAGUUAGCUGGAUGCUGUGAAGAUUACAGGUUCACUUUCUGUCUGAGUCACAUUCCAAGAAUGAUACCAUGAGAAAUAUUCUCCUCUUUUCAAUCCUAAAGUGUUUAUAUUUGGGCCUAAGCCAGCAGUAGAGAAUCAGGCAUCUUGUGCUUUGUAUAGAGGAG